GGGAAUUAGCUGCAUUCAGCUUUUAUUCUCUCCCGAAGCUUUGCAAAACCUCCCGGCCUUCCAAGAGGGUUUGCGUCUUGUCCUAGAAAUUUUCUUAUAAUUUUUCCCACCACCCUGACUGAUCUCCUACACAUGUAAGAUGUGGCUUGUCCUCCUUGCCUUCCACCAUGAUAGUGAAGCCUCCCCAGUUACGUGGAAUACAACUUGGACAGAACUGAAGGCAUUAUCUUAAGUGAAACAACUCAGAAACAGAAGUAUUUGAAGAGAUUUAUUCUGAACCAAAUAUGAGUGACCAUGGCCAGUGACACAGCCCUCAAGGAGGUCCUGAGAACAUGUACCUGUAAAGAUUUUUUUUUUAAUUGGGGUAUGGGGAAGAUACCAAGUCAAGAUGCAUGUGGUUACAAAUAAGAAUUUUUAAAAAGGCAGAAUAAACAUCUUGUAAUAAACUUAAUAAGAA
rnacentral:lncRNA from 10 species